CAAACUAAAGAUGGCGACCGGCGCACGGGUGAGUAACACGUAUCCAACCUGCCGAUAACUCGGGGAUAGCCUUUCGAAAGAAAGAUUAAUAUCCGAUGGUAUAUUUUCUCCGCAUGGUGAGAAUAUUAAAGAAUUUCGGUUAUCGAUGGGGAUGCGUUCCAUUAGUUUGUUGGCGGGGUAACGGCCCACCAAGACCACGAUGGAUAGGGGUUCCGAGAGGAAGGUCCCCCACAUUGGAACUGAGACACGGUCCAA
rnacentral:rRNA from 1 species